AGAAAUAGUGGCAGAUUUCAGAUUUCUACAAUUACUUCAGUGUUGACUGAUGAGAAGAUCGAUUAGCGCUUAAAAGACUAUUUUUUUUCUUCCGAGUUCAAUUCUGGACGGUGGAAUCCACGGUUGAUUUCACGGAAACAGAAUCUAAUAGAAGGAGGUUACAGCCACAAUAUGAUGUCAUCUUUUGCUUCUUAAUUCGGACGAACAUAAAAAAUCGGCAUCCUUUUCAAACGAAACAACUUCCUUACAAUUUAUGUCCAU